CAAGCCCUCUUUGGUGUUGGUUGUGCCUCUGCUGUUGUUCCAGUAGUGCUACGUUAGCUCAAAUGAAGAACUCAAGUCGUCUCUGUUUCAGACUUCAUACUUUUCAUGCUGUUCAUCUGAUCCUUCCUGGAGAGCAGAGUUCAUGGCUGGGAAGAGCAUCCUUAAAGGAAAUAGGAUGUCUGGAGGAGUGUUUUCAAGAAGAAAACUUACAGUUUUGAAAGUUCAAGUCAAAAUACAGCUGAGUCACC